UCUUCUUCUUCUCUCUCGCCGGGGUCCCCAAAAAGGUAGUCAAGUUCAACUUUUUCUCCUUUUUCUCCCUUUGCUGGAUUCGAUUUCAAUUCUUUGGGAAACGUUUCCGUCUCUCUCUAUCUCUCCUCUAAGUGAGUAAGCAACUUGUGGAAUUCGAUCGGCGAGGAGGAUGCACACCUCCAAGCUUCUCCGCUUCUCUUCUCUAUGUGCCGCCAUCUGCUUUGGCUUCCUCCUUGUCCUCGAUUGACCCUUCUUUUUUCCCUCGAGCGUACAUGAUGAUGAGUGCACUCUGGGUGGUGCUGAUGUUGCUGGGAGUUACUCCAUGGAGGAGCAUCCACUGCCUCGAGGUCAAGCAGGAGAAGAGGCUGCUAGUAGCCAUGACUCUUGUCCCCCACGCAGGUUCCACCGGAGCAGUGUGCCUGGACGGGAGCCCACCGGCUUACCACCUCCACGAAGGGCUCGGCAGCGGCGCUCGCAACUGGCUGCUGCAGUUCGAGGGAGGAGGGUGGUGCAAUGACGUGGCGUCGUGUGCGGCGCGGUCAAAGACGCGACGGGGGUCAACCCGGUACAUGAACAAGCUGGAGGUGUUCUCCGGGAUCCUAAGCAACGACUCCACCGCCAACCCCGACUUCUACGACUGGAACCGAGUGAAGCUUCGCUACUGCGAUGGCGCCUCCUUUGGUGGCGACUCGGAGUUCCUCAACAGCACGACUGCUCUUUACUUCAGAGGGCAAAGGAUAUGGAAAGCUAUUGUUCUUGAUCUUCUCCCGAAAGGCUUAAUCCAGGCAGACAAGGUAUUGCUUUCAGGCUGUUCUGCCGGGGGUUUAGCUACAUUUCUUCAUUGCGAUGAUCUCACCAGGUUCGUACCAGAGACGGCCACCGUCAAAUGCAUAAGCGACGCCGGGUUCUUCCUCGAUGUGAGAGAUGUCUCAGGACAGUACACCAUAAGAUCCUUCUUCAGUAGCCUUGUCAGUCUGCAGGUCAGAUUUCUGCUGCUGUUUGUUCUUUCUUUGACAUUUAGGUUUGCAAAACUGGAUGUUGUGCCGCAGGGAGUGCAGAAGAAUUUGAAUCCAAAUUGCACAUCUUCUUAUGGCCUUUUUGCCUAUCAGUGCUUCUUUCCACAGCAUGCAUUGAGCUACAUCAGAACACCAUACUUCAUCUUGAACUCAGCUUACGAUGUAUACCAGUUCCAUCAUAUAUUUGUGCCACCAUCCGCUGAUCCACGAGGACGCUGGUACAGCUGCAAGCUAAAUCCAAUGGCGUGCAGCCCAAUCCAAAUAGCUAUUCUGCAAGGUUUCAGGAAUGAGAUGCUCGAAGCUCUCGAAUCAUUUGAAGGAUCACAAAAUGGUGGGCUGUUCAUAAACUCCUGCUUUACGCAUUGCCAGAGUGAACUGCAAGAAGCAUGGUUUGGCCCCAGUUCUCCAAGACUGCACAACAAGACUAUUGCGGAGGUUGUUGGUGAUUGGUACUUUGGCAGAGGGAUGGCCAAGGAAGUUGAUUGUCCAUAUCCUUGUGAUUCCACAUGUGACGACUUGAUACCAUCAAAUCAGGUCUUGGAGGGGUCACAAGAAUCCAUGCCAAAAAUAAAUUGGUAGAAGGGAGCUUGCUUCUUUGGAAUUGAGUAUAGAGAACACCCACCCAUUAAACAAUCAAAUCCACAAAGUAGUUGGUCAAGUCAAUCCUACACUGCUUCCUUAUUGUCAGGACAUCGAAAAGUCUGAUUUGGGUUGCAACAUACAUCAAGGAAGGGAGGUGCCUUCGACAACCCCACUUCGUAUAUGCACCAUUGGAUGCCCGCUGUUUGUGAUAUGUCUCCUG